AUUGAACGCUGGCGGCAGGCCUAACACAUGCAAGUCGAACGAGUGGCGGACGGGUGAGUAAUGUCUGGGAAACUGCCUGAUGGAGGGGGAUAACUACUGGAAACGGUAGCUAAUACCGCAUACCAUCAGAUGUGCCCAUAUGGGAUUAGCUAGUGGGUGGGGUAACGGCUCACCAAGGCGACGAUCCCUAGCUGGUCUGAGAGGAGGACCAGCCACACUGGAACUGAGACACGGUCCAAACUCCUACGGGAGGCAGAAGUGGGGAAUAUUGCACAAUGGGCGAAAGCCUGAUGCAGCCAUGCCGCGUGUAUGAAGAGGGCCUUCGGGUUGUAAAGUACGUUCAGCGGGGAGGCGUUACCCGAAGAAGAAGCAACGGCUAACUCCGUGCCAGCAGCCGCGGUAAUAC
rnacentral:rRNA from 1 species